GUAAUUCGAUGCACAUCAGAUAGACCACACAAACUUUUCGAUACAGUAAAAAUCCAGGCCCAUGAGUCAACAAUGGCCUUUUCCCUGAAUGUAAUGAUUUAAAUUCACGCUAUGUCCUCAGGUCUUUGGAUGUUUAAAUGGUAAGGGUACCUGAGUUUUUCCUGCGUGCACUUCUAAAGCCUCGCCGUGUUGUCAAAGGCUCAUUUAAGGCGCGCUUAAGCCCUGAAGCUCAAAAAA
rnacentral:lncRNA from 1 species